rnacentral:rRNA from 1 species
GACGAACGCUGGCGGCGUGCCUAAUACAUGCAAGUAGAACGCUGAAGAGAGGAGCUUGCUCUUCUUGGAUGAGUUGCGAACGGGUGAGUAACGCGUAGGUAACCUGCCUGGUAGCGGGGGAUAACUAUUGGAAACGAUAGCUAAUACCGCAUAAAAUGGAUUAUCGCAUGAUAAUCCAUUGAAAGGUGCAAAUGCAUCACUACCAGAUGGACCUGCGUUGUAUUAGCUAGUUGGUGGGGUAACGGCUCACCAAGGCGACGAUACAUAGCCGACCUGAGAGGGUGAUCGGCCACACUGGGACUGAGACACGGCCCAGACUCCUACGGGAGGCAGCAGUAGGGAAUCUUCGGCAAUGGACGGAAGUCUGACCGAGCAACGCCGCGUGAGUGAAGAAGGUUUUCGGAUCGUAAAGCUCGGUUGUAAGAGAAGAACGAGUGUGAGAGUGGAAAGUUCACACUGUGACGGUAGCUUACCAGAAAGGGACGGCUAACUACGUG